GAUGAACGCUGGCGGCGUGCCUAAUACAUGCAAGUCGAGCGAACGGACGAGAAGCUUGCUCCUCUGAUGUUAGCGGCGGACGGGUGAGUAACACGUGGAUAGCCUACCUAUAAGACUGGGAUAACUUCGGGAAACCGGAGCUAAUACCGGAUAAUAUUUUGAACCGCAUGGUUCAAAAGUGAAAGACGGUUUUGCUGUCACUUAUAGAUGGAUCCGCGCUGCAUUAGCUAGUUGGUAAGGUAACGGCUUACCAAGGCAACGAUGCGUAGCCGACCUGAGAGGGUGAUCGGCCACACUGGAACUGAGACACGGUCCAGACUCCUACGGGAGGCAGCAGUAGGGAAUCUUCCGCAAUGGGCGAAAGCCUGACGGAGCAACGCCGCGUGAGUGAUGAAGGUCUUCGGAUCGUAAAACUCUGUUAUUAGGGAAGAACAUAUGUGUAAGUAACUAUGCACGUCUUGACGGUACCUAAUCAGAAAGCCACGGCUAACUACGUG
rnacentral:rRNA from 1 species